rnacentral:rRNA from 1 species
GAUGAACGCUGGCGGCGUGCCUAAUACAUGCAAGUCGAGCGAACAGAUAAGGAGCUUGCUCCUCUGACGUUAGCGGCGGACGGGUGAGUAACACGUGGAUAACCUACCUAUAAGACUGGGAUAACUUCGGGAAACCGGAGCUAAUACCGGAUAAUAUAUUGAACCGCAUGGUUCAAUAGUGAAAGGCGGCUUUGCUGUCACUUAUAGAUGGAUCCGCGCCGUAUUAGCUAGUUGGUAAGGUAACGGCUUACCAAGGCAACGAUGCGUAGCCGACCUGAGAGGGUGAUCGGCCACACUGGAACUGAGACACGGUCCAGACUCCUACGGGAGGCAGCAGUAGGGAAUCUUCCGCAAUGGGCGAAAGCCUGACGGAGCAACGCCGCGUGAGUGAUGAAGGUCUUCGGAUCGUAAAACUCUGUUAUCAGGGAAGAACAAAUGUGUAAGUAACUGUGCACAUCUUGACGGUACCUAAUCAGAAAGCCACGGCUAACUACGUG